rnacentral:miRNA from 1 species
UGGGAAGGCAAGAAGUCGGCAUAGCUGUUUGAAAAUGAUAUACGGCUGUGUCACUUCGAGCCAGCUCAAUCCACCGGCUUUCUGCAUAAAGAAGAUUUGCGGACGCUGCCGUAACGUGAAAAUUCGGAUCGCUCCCGUAGCGGCGCGACUCCGGCCGGGAGAGGGCGCAUUGACAGCUGUCACUGGGCACUAUUUCGCUUUCUUCGCGGCCGGACGUGGGAGGAAAUCGUUUAUUUUUAUCACACACGACGAUGUUCCCGUAGAGUGCGACCGGCUGUGUACGUGCGUGACGAAACGAUCGAAAACAAGACGACAAAAUGCCGAACGAGGAGGUGUUGGGUCCGCGGAAGACGAUGUUCGUACUAGUGAUUGUUGUGGGAUGUUUCGCGGUGCUGUGGCCCAGGAUUCUGUCGCCGCUGAUCUUGGGCCACUCGCGGGACCAGCUCAAACCGAACGCGUUCGACCGGGAGGCAGCUGUAAAACAAGAGCGUCCUCUGAACCGCGGCGCAGGGCCGCAUCCAGCACUGCGAGAGCGGGGCCGCGCGAUUCCUCAGGGCGUGGCCCCCGCGAGACCCGCGACACCGAUGCCGCCCCACGUUCGGGUACGAUCCUCCCCGCUAUCAGUGUACUAUGAGCUGGACAUCAAGCCACCACCGAUCCCGGGCAUGCGGCCCCCGCUCGGCUCGCCCGGGGGUCCGGUGCCCACGCCCAAGUCGUCCAUGGGGUUCGUCAUGCCGAUCUACACGAUAUGCAUCAUAGUGUUCUUCGUGUACACACUUAGCAAGAUCCUGUUCAAGCGCACCGCGUCCCCCUACGAGCCUGUUAGUCCCGACCCCCACUUCAGGAGCAGGGUGUUCCGCGACGACUCCAGGACGUCGCCCGACAAGCUCGGGGAUGUUGAACUGGAGGCGCUGCGAGCGCGGCUUGCGGAGACUGAGCGCGCCAUGCAAAGGAUCGUCGGCCAACUGGCUCAGCGCGACGCGGAGGCCCAGGAUGAGCAGGCUCGCCCGUACACGAACGGUACAAUACUUCACAACACCGGCCCGGUGCAUAUCGUCGCCAGCGAAUACCAGGAAGUAUCCAAGGAAAAGACUCCUGAACCUCAGAGGGAAGUGCCAGAACCUUCACCUGAAGUGAAGGAACCUGCCCCUGAACCUGAAAAGCCUCUGUCAAAAGAAUCUUUAGAGACGAAAGAGUCUGAGGAAUUAGAGGCUGAAAAACAAGAAGAAUUGGUUCAAGAAAUACCUGCAACACAAUCUGAAGAAGCAGAGACGGACGAUGUUAAAGAAGAGAAGGGUCCAGAAGAAAAUGACUUAAAACUCGUUGCUGACGAUGAAGUGGACGAAAAUGGUGGCGAAGCUAAAUUCGAUAAAGAAGAAUCGGGUUCAGAGCCAGAGUUAAUAGAAAUUAAUAAUAAAGAGGAUGAACUGAUUAAAUUAACAAACGAUGACGUAGAAAGCGAUGACUACGUCAAAGUGGUACAGGAUUUCUUGAACGAGGAAGCUAAAAUAGACGUGAAAGAAGAGAAACAAUCGACUCCGGAUCUCCUGGAAGUAGCUAUUAAAGAGGACUCGCCUGAUAAACCUGAGGAUGACCAAGAAAAUGCUAGUGUAAAGCACGAGGCGGAGGAAGUGAAGUCGAUAUUCCUGGAGACGGAGAUUCCGCAGAAGUCUCGGGUCCUCGUCGCGGACUUCGUCGAAGACAGGCCCGAAGACUCCGCGCCCAGUAACAAUUCCCCAAUGGUGGUGAGCGGUAAAAUGACUUUGUCACUCAUACAGGACGCACCGAGAGACACUCCUGAGAAGGAUCCAGAAUCAACAGUGGAUGAUUUCACAACAGCCAGUGCAAUCACUCAACCCGCCGCUGAUAAACAAGUUGAAGAAGAGUCCGACGAAGAAAUAGAGAUCGAAGAAGAAAUAGAAGUGGAAGAGAUCGAGGAAGAGGAAGAAGUUGAGGAGAUUGAGGAAGACGAAGAGAACGAACCGGUGGAGGCGAAGAAACCAGAAGCAAAGGAACCAGUCAAAGUGCAAGAAGUAAAGGAAGCUGUUAAAGUACAGGAAGAAGUAAAACAAGCAGAAGAAGAUUCCGAAGAGGAGGUAGAAGUAAAUGAAGAUGAGGAACCAAUACAAGAUUCGAAAUUUGAACCGGUUAAAGAACUAGAUGCCGAUAAAGAAGAAGAAUAUUCUGAGGAAGAAAUUGAGGAAAAUGAGGAACCAGUGAAAGAGUCAGUUAAGGUAAAGGAACCGGUGAAAUUAAAAGAGCCAGUUAAAGGAAAACCAUCUGUAGAACAUUCAGAAGAUGAUAAGGAACAGAAGAAAGCGAAAGGAGAUAAAGAAUGAACUGAUAGGAAUUAACUUGUAGUGAGAGAAUGUUUGGUGGUUCUGUAAAGAAAAAUAUUAAACAAGUAAAAUGGAUUCAAAUAAAAAU